rfam:Ovis aries breed Texel chromosome 16, whole genome shotgun sequence.
UCCCUGGUGGCUCAGACAGUAAAGAAUCUGCCUGUAACGCAGGAGACCCAGGUUCGAUUCCUGGGUUGAGAG